rfam:Ictidomys tridecemlineatus contig113319, whole genome shotgun sequence.
GGGGGUGAAGCUCAAUUGGUAGAGUGCUUGCCUCACAUGCAUAAGGCCCUGGGUUCGAUACCCAGCACCACAC